rnacentral:rRNA from 1 species
UCGAUGGAGAGUUUGAUCCUGGCUCAGGACGAACGCUGGCGGCGUGCCUAAUACAUGCAAGUCGAGCGGACCGAAAAGAAGCUUGCUUCGAUUCGGUUAGCGGCGGACGGGUGAGUAACACGUGGGCAACCUGCCCUGUAGACGGGGAUAACACCGAGAAAUCGGUGCUAAUACCGGAUAAUACGAAAUGUCGCAUGACGUUUCGUUGAAAGGCGGCGCAAGCUGUCGCUACAGGAUGGGCCCGCGGCGCAUUAGCUAGUUGGUGAGGUAACGGCUCACCAAGGCGACGAUGCGUAGCCGACCUGAGAGGGUGAUCGGCCACACUGGG